rnacentral:rRNA from 1 species
UGGGGAAUUUUGGACAAUGGGCGCAAGCCUGAUCCAGCCAUGCCGCGUGUCUGAAGAAGGCCUUCGGGUUGUAAAGGACUUUUGUCAGGGAAGAAAAGGGCGGGGUUAAUACCCCUGUCUGAUGACGGUACCUGAAGAAUAAGCACCGGCUAACUACGUGCCAGCAGCCGCGGUAAUACGUAGGGUGCGAGCGUUAAUCGGAAUUACCGGGCGUAAAGCGGGCGCAGACGGUUACUUAAGCAGGAUGUGAAAUCCCCGGGCUCAACCUGGGAACUGCGUUCUGAACUGGGUGACUAGAGUGUGUCAGAGGGAGGUAGAAUUCCACGUGUAGCAGUGAAAUGCGUAGAGAUGUGGAGGAAUACCGAUGGCGAAGGCAGCCUCCUGGGAUAACACUGACGUUCAUGCCCGAAAGCGUGGGUAGCAAACA